GAGAUUCAAUAAUGAAGCUGCCUUCAUAGUUUCCUUCCAUUCUAAUGAAAAAUAGAGACAAAAACACUUGAUGUGGAAUAUAAGAGGUAAAUGUUCUGAAGAAAAAUAAGGGAGUAAAGAAAUGAAGAAGAGAAAAAAUACAAUGUCAUAUGUGAAGCCCAUGUCGUAUUAUCAAAGCCCAAGAAAUUCUCCAAAGAAAAGACAAGACCCUGACUACACCUCAGCAGUCUUUUCUUUUACUGUUUUGCCUUUCCAUUUUAGCAAAUAAUCAGCUUGAUGGUGAGAUAUUUAUAAAAUUUACACUGGAAACCAUCAUUUCACAUGGUCAAUAAUAUCAUUGUAUCUUACUGACGAAGUUCAAUAAACUGGCAUUGAAUCUACA